GGGGGCAUAGCUCAGUUGGUUAGAGCAUCUGACUCUUAAUCAGAGGGUCUAGGGUUCGAAUCCCUAUGCCCCCAUUG
rnacentral:tRNA from 1 species